UACGGCCAUACCACCCUGAACGCGCCCGAUCUCAUCUGAUCUCGGAAGCUAAGCAGGGUCGGGCCUGGUUAGUACUUGGAUAGGAGAGAGAGAGAGAGAGAGAGCAAGAGAGAGCCGAGC
rnacentral:rRNA from 1 species